UACGGGGGGAGCAAGCGUUGUUCGGAUUUACUGGGCGUAAAGGGCGCGUAGGCGGCCAGCACAAGUCAGUUGUGAAAUCUCCGAGCUUAACUCGGAAAGGUCAACUGAUACUGUGCGGCUAGAGUGCGGAAGGGGCAACUGGAAUUCUUGGUGUAGCGGUGAAAUGCGUAGAUAUCAAGAGGAACACCUGCGACGAAGGCGGGUUGCUGGGCCGACACUGACGCUGAUGCGCGAAAGCUAGGGGAGCGAACGGG
rnacentral:rRNA from 1 species